rnacentral:rRNA from 1 species
GAUGAACGCUGGCGGCGUGCCUAAUACAUGCAAGUCGAGCGAACAGAUGAGGAGCUUGCUCCUCUGACGUUAGCGGCGGACGGGUUAGUAACACGUGGAUAACCUACCUAUAAGACUGGGAUAACUUCGGGAAACCGGAGCUAAUACCGGAUAAUAUAUUGAACCGCAUGGUUCAAUAGUGAAAGACGGUUUUGCUGUCACUUAUAGAUGGAUCCGCGCCGCAUUAGCUAGUUGGUAAGGUAACGGCUUACCAAGGCAACGAUGCGUAGCCGACCUGAGAGGGUGAUCGGCCACACUGGAACUGAGACACGGUCAAGACUCCUACGGGAGGCAGCAGUAGGGAAUCUUCCGCAAUGGGCGAAAGCCUGACGGAGCAACGCCGCGUGAGUGAUGAAGGUCUUCGGAUCGUAAAACUCUGUUAUUAGGGAAGAACAAAUGUGUAAGUAACUAUGCACGUCUUGACGGUACCUAAUCAGAAAGCCACGGCUAACUACGUG